rnacentral:rRNA from 1 species
UUCCUGUACUAUGAUAUGACAGAACUGUGGGGACACGUGCAGAGAGCGGAAGCCGGGAAUGGGAUCCCGGUGCAAGCGAGGUACCGGCCGCAUUGGAAAAACCGUGCGGCAAUGGGAAGACGUGAUGCGGAGUGAAGUUUAGUAAUGAAGUCCGUGAGCUGUGCGUCAAGAAAAGCCGCUAUUGUUCAUACCAUACCCGUACCGUAAACCGACACAGGUGGAUGAGGAGAGAAUCCUAAGGCCGGCGGAAGAAGCAUUGUCAAGGAACUCGGCAAAAUGACCCCGUAACUUCGGGAGAAGGGGUGCCUGCGAGAGCAGGCCGCAGAGAAUAGGCUCAAGCAACUGUUUAGCAAAAACACAGGUCUAUGCGAAACCGAAAGGUGAGGUAUAUGGGCUGACGCCUGCCCGGUGCCGGAAGGUUAAGAGGAGAGGUUAGCGCAAGCGAAGCUUUGAAUUUAAGCCCCAGUAAACGGCGGCCGUAACGAUAACGGUCCUAAGGUAGCGAAAUUCCUUGUCGGGUAAGUUCCGACCCGCACGAAAGGCGUAAUGAUUUGAGCGCUGUGUCGACAAUGCAUCCGGUGAAAUUGAAGUACCAGUGAAGAUGCUGGUUACCUGCGCCAGGACGGAAAGACCCCAUGGAGCUUCACUCCAGUUUGGUACUGGGAUCCGGUACUGCAUGUACAGGAUAGGUGGGAGGCUAUGAAUCGGUAACGCCAGUUGCCGAGGAGCCGCUGUUGGGAUACCACCCUUGCAGUAUUGGGUUUCUAACCAGCCGCCGUGACCCGGCGGUGGGACAAUGCCAGACGGGGAGUUUGACUGGGGCGGUCGCCUCCGAAAGGGUAUCGGAGGCGCCCAAAGGUUCCCUCAGGAUGGACGGAAACCAUCCAAAGAGUGCAAAGGCAGAAGGGAGCUUGACUGCGACACCGACGGGUGGAGCAGGUACGAAAGUAGGGCUUAGUGAUCCGGUGGUAUUAAGUGGGAAUGCCAUCGCUCAACGGAUAAAAGCUACCCUGGAUAACAGGCUUAUCACUCCCAAGAGUUCACAUCGACGGAGUGGUUUGGCACCUUGGUGUCGGCUCAUCGCAUCCUGGGGCUGUAGUAGGUCCCAAGGGUUGGGCUGUUCGCCCAUUAAAGCGGUACGCGAGCUGGGUUCAGAACGUCGUGAGACAGUUCGGUCCCUAUCCGGCGUGGGCGUAGGAUAUCUGAGAGGAGCUGUCCUUAGUACGAGAGGACCGGGAUGGACGGGCCGCUGGUGCACCGGUUAGACUGCCAAGUCUAUAGCCGGGUAGCCAAGCCCGGAAGGGAUAAACGCUGAAGGCAUCUAAGCGUGAAGCCCCCCUCAAGAUGAGAUAUCCCAUCCGAAAGGAGUAAACCCCCUUGAAGACGACGAGGUCGAUAGGGCAGAGGUGGAAGUGUGGUAACACAUGGAGCUGACUGCCACUAAUAGGGUGAGGGCUUGACCG